rnacentral:rRNA from 1 species
AUUGAACGCUGGCGGCAGGCUUAACACAUGCAAGUCGAGCGGGGUGAUGGUGCUUGCACUAUCACUUAGCGGCGGACGGGUGAGUAAUGCUUAGGAAUCUGCCUAUUAGUGGGGGACAACAUCUCGAAAGGGAUGCUAAUACCGCAUACGCCCUACGGGAGAAAGCAGGGGAUCACUUGUGACCUUGCGCUAAUAGAUGAGCCUAAGUCGGAUUAGCUAGUUGGUGGGGUAAAGGCCUACCAAGGCGACGAUCUGUAGCGGGUCUGAGAGGAUGUUCCGCCACACUGGGACUGAGACACGGCCCAGACUCCUACGGGAGGCAGCAGUGGGGAAUAUUGGACAAUGGGGGGAACCCUGAUCCAGCCAUGCCGCGUGUGUGAAGAAGGCCUUAUGGUUGUAAAGCACUUUAAGCGAGGAGGAGGCUCUUUUGGUUAAUACCCAAGAUGAGUGGACGUUACUCGCAGAAUAAGCACCGGCUAACUCUGUGCCAGCAGCCGCAGUAA